rnacentral:tRNA from 4 species
GGGUAGGUGCCGGAGCGGCCAAUCGGGUCUGGCUGUAAACCAGAUGCCUUCGGGCUACGGGGGUUCGAAUCCCUCCCUACCCA